CCGUAGGUGAACCUGCGGAAGGAUCAACCCCUGUAAUAGUUUGUGGGCAAGUCUCCCCGUGUUGUAAGUCCAUUGGACUGGAUGCGCGGUGGUGGAUGCCGGUCU
rnacentral:rRNA from 1 species